rnacentral:rRNA from 1 species
CACGUAGGUGGCAAGCGUUGUCCGGAUUUACUGGGCGUAAAGAGCGCGCAGGCGGUCGUUCAAGUCGCGUGUGAAAGCCCCCGGCUCAACUGGGGAGGGUCACGCGAUACUGAUCGACUGGAAGGCAGGAGAGGGAAGUGGAAUUCCCGGUGUAGUGGUGAAAUGCGUAGAUAUCGGGAGGAACACCAGUGGCGAAGGCGACUUCCUGGCCUGUUCUUGACGCUGAGGCGCGAAAGCUAGGGGAGCAAACGGG